UGACAAUAAAAAUUAAAAGUUUUACUGAUUACUUUUAAAGCUCGUUUAGGUCUGGCACCCGGCUACAUUACAGAUUUACUGACGCCCUAUGAGCCUCCCCGCAGCCUUAGAUCCUCAGGCAGGUCCCUUUUAGCUGUGCCAGGGUCGAAACUCAAGACCAGAGGUGACCGAGCUUUUUCAAUCCGAGCCCCUCGACUCUAGAACGACCUGCCGGAGGAGAUAAGGCUGGCACCAUCAGUAUCAUCUUUUAAGUCACUUCUUAAAAUACAGUUUUAUCGACUGUCUUUUUUAUAACAUUUUUAUUUACUUUAUUUAUUUUCAAAAUGUACUCGUGCAUGUAUCUCUUCAUUGUUGAUUUCAUUACCUUACUUUGCUGCGUGCUGUUUAGUACUUUGUAAACCUGGUUUUUUAAAAGGGCUAUACAAGUAAAGAUUUAUUUAUUAUUUAUUUAUU